UCUCUUUGAUCUCCUGGGUAUAGAGGCCUAGCAGUGGUAUUACUAGGUCAAAGGAUGUGGACACUUUAGUAACUUUUUGGGCUUGCCUCCAAACUUUUCUAGAAUGGUCAGACUGAUUCCCAGCUCCACCCCUAAUACAUUAAUGUGCCUCUUUUCCUGCAGUUAUUCUAACAUGCCAUUUUCCUGUUUUGUCAUCUUUGCCAGACUGAUGGGCAUAAAUGAUCCAUUAUUCAGAGGGACAUAUGAGAAAGAAUGCUAUCCACAUCCAGAGGAAGAACUGUGGGAAAAGAAACACAGAAGAAAAACAACUGCUUGAUCACAGUGUGACAGAGAAGCCAUUGGACUCUAACAACAUCGGAGCCCUUGCAUCCAUUGGGCGAAAAGAACCAACUUCUUCUUUUUGGUAUCCCUUCCACAUGGGGGGAUCAGGGGUGCAGUGUCCCUGUGAACUGGAAAAUCCAAGUGAAAUUUUUUUAGUCCUCCUUUCAUACCAGCCCCUGUCCUUGAUCCCUAACUGUCUUUUAGACUGACCAAACACCCAUGCACUAUCCUCUGAGGAAGCCCCUCAUCUCAGAGGAGACCUUGUGGCUGGAAGCCGAGCUAGAUUUAAUCUUCUGAGAAGGCCCCUUGACUGAGGCCUCUGAAUUUCCCUUGGCUUAGGCUAGACCGAAGAAAUCGUAUACCCUUUUCUCUUUCUCUUCUUCUUAAUUUAUUCCUUCUAUUGUAAUUAAACCACCAUAAAAAUCUCAAACUGAAUUGGGUAUUUUAUUGGGAUUGAAUUUAAAUCCCUGGAGACAACUAAUAUAAUAUAUUCAGUCAACUAACUGAAUUUUACCCUCUAACAGUACCACCAUUUGUCCAGGCAUCAAUUUGGAAUCAUCCUGGACUACUCACUCUCACCCUACACAUACUCUCAGUUGCCAAGUCUUGGUUCUAUUUCUACAGAUUCUCUCAUCUAUCCCCUUUUCUACAUUCACACUGCUACCAUCCCUUAAUCAUGUAGACUAUUAUGAUAGUCUCCCAUUUUUCUCCCUAAUUCAGGUUUCUUCCUUUUCCAAUCUAUCUUCCACAAAGCUGCCAAAGUUAUUUUCCCAAAGGGAAGGUCUGACCAUGUCACUCUCCUCCUCAGUAAACUCCAGUGGCUCUCUAUUGCCUCUGGGAUAAAACAGAAAUCCCCUUGUUUUGACAUUUAAGUCCUUCACAGCAUGGCCCCCACCUCUCUUUCCUGUCUUAUUGCAUAUUAUUCCCUUUCUUAUAUUUUACACCCUAGCCAAAUUGGUCUUCUUAGGGUUCCUCAUACAUGACUCCCUUCUGUGUAGUUCUGUGUGUCCUUGGGCCUAAAAUGUUCUCCUUUCUCAAGUCUGCCUCUUAGAAUCUCUUGUAGCCAUUUAACAGCCAAGAACCACUUUCUCUAGAUAUUUAACUCCAGGUUACUUAACUUCUUUAAUCCUCAGUUUCUUCAUCUUUAAAAUGAGUGCAAGACUAGCACUUACCUAAUAUGGUUAUGAUUAGUUUCCUGAUGUCCCCUUCU